GCCUCCUACAGAGGCGUGUCUGUGGUCCCGUCCCGUCCUCAGACACAGAGGACGCGGAGGCGAGGAGACGUGUACUUGGAGAAGCCCGGGGCCAGCGAGCUCCCUGCAGGCUCAAGGUCAGUCUUCCCACACAG